GGUUGCUAUAGUGAUGAUGUAGAAGAUAUGCAAUUGUUUCUACCUGGCUAUCACUACUAUGCUAACGUUAUCAGUAAGCCAGAUAAUAUUAGGGACUUGCCUGAAAAUCUUUAGGACAAGGUUGAACAACUGCCAGCAAAUAGCAGCCGCUACCAUACAUCAGCUGUUGUUAGUAGCGGCAGAUAUUUACUGUCAAAAUUGGAAUCAAGCCCUAAAGUUUAUACUUUUUGGUCUUGGUAUUGGGGUGCAGUCCUAACAUAUAGCUUCAUUCAAUAUGACUGUGGCUUGAUCUUAGGGUCACCAGCUAGCAUUUAUCUUAAUUUAAACAAUUAUUGACCUUUAUGGAUUGAUCAUGCAUUUGUUCAUUUAGUG